CAAAACAGACCUGAGAAUAGUGGAACAGGGAAAUAGUUCAGAGGACUGGGUGAAAUAACAACUGAGGGUCUCUCUCCUCCAUUCAUUAAAGGAGUGAACAGUCUCUAGGUCAUUCUAAACCAGAAGCAUCUUCCUCCUGAAAUUAGGACUAUUGACUCUAGAUUUAUCAUCAAUGCAUUCAUGGCAGGAAAAGCUUAUUUCCAGCCCAUCAGGAAUGACAAUGAAGAAGCUAGACAUGGAGAUAAUAGUCCCUUAGCAAGAGAGAAUUGAACAGGGGAGAACUGUCUUCUUGCAGACUUGCUACAAAGACAUGUGUCCAGGUCACCUGAUGCUGGAAUUCAUCUUGAUUUUUUUACUUUUCCACAGAGGUGUUAGGGAAUCAAACAAAAGCUUCCCAUCCUAGGGAAAUUCUAUAUCAGGUAAGGAAAGUAAACAGAUAUGGUUUUCAGCUGGCUUUACAGACUCCCUCUCAUUCCCCAAGGUAUACAUGAAAAUGCCUGGAAACAAAAAGAUUGUAACGAGAGAGGUGGAAGAGAACUGCUGGACUCAGGCACCAAUUCCAAAGACAUUAACAAGACUACAGCAUUGGUACUAGCUUCCCUAAAAGGAAAUUCUGUCGAUACUACCCAUUUAAUGGAUUUGUACAAGCAUACACUCAUGACCUUUCUUUUCUCUCCCCUUCUCGGACUGUAAUGAACAAGAUGAGUUGGCUGACUCUUCCUUCCCCGGAAUAAACACUUAAGUCUAUGUUAGGUGGUAUAGGCUGAAAAACACUUCGACCAAUGUUAUCAAAUGUGACUAGUGACUUUGGGUGCCCUCGUGUUUGAGUACCAACCUGAAAGACACCAAAAGGGGCCUGAUUUUGAGCUCAUUGCCCUCUGAAAAUUAGGCAUUUUUGAGAUGUCUUGAGUUUGGCAUUCAGAAACUGAAGCCCCAAAAAUCAUAUUUUAAAAAGAACUCUGACCAGUACUUUUUUGGGGACAGAUUUAAAAUAAAGCUUGUCACCUAGCAUCUCCCAUUGGACAGGCUGGUAGAAUGCAGGAUUUGGAAACAGACAUUACUUUUCCUUUCCAAGGUCUGUGAAAGAAUUUCUGUGCAACCAUGGCCUUUAUGAAGCAGCAAUAACAAAGGACACUGAAGUGCCAUCUUUUAUCACCACCAAGAAGUAGCAAUAAUUGAGAAGCUUAACAUGAACAACAAUCAGGAUGUGUGUUAGCAGGCCACAAAAUAUAAAGUGCAUUCAAUGAUCUACAAUGAUCAACAUGAAACAGCAAAACAAAACAAACAUCUUCAAAAAUCCAACAAUAUGGUAAACAGUAAUGUCCUUCUCUAAAAAUUAUUCCAGUUGCAGUUUUUGGUCAUUUCAAGAUUUUUUCCACAGAAGUUAUGGGCAGUUUUGCUAAAAAAUAAGUUUAGCAAUGAGGCAACAUCUUCCAAAGAAAAGUCUUUACUUUAUAAUAGUAACUACCUUCAAAUUAGUUUGCCAUAACAACUUGUUGCUUUGAUUGUUAUUGAAAAUGAUUAAUGUUAUAUGAAAAUAUUCUGUUGUCCAUUCUACAUAGAAGCAGAGAUGGUGAAGAAAUACAUUUGUGCAAUUCAAAAAAACUGAGCAAAAGAAGCAGAUACUUAUGAAAGUGCAUAAGAGAAAAGAGAAAAUUGGUUCAGAGUAGUUACUUAAGAGAUGGAAAACGUCGUUUCAAGGAGGCAAACUUAUGAAUCGCAUCAGCAACAGAAUAUUUUGUCUGUCCAGAUACACACGCCUCGAUAUCUUCUGGACUUAGCUGAGUCUGUAAGAAGAGGUGAAGUCUACUGUCCGAAAGCAAUAAUGCAUUUUGUAGGAUCCUUUAAAAUAGAGAAAGGCAUAGAAUUACUAGAACAAUUCUCAAUGCUGUCCUGCUUUUAAAUUAAUCUCAAAUUAGCCUCAGAAUGCACUGCACAUAAUAAAAUGAUUAGGUAUGUGUUACCUUUUUAUUACAUUAUCUAGAAUUUUAGGUGAGUAAAAACAUGAAGCUAAUAGUUAAGAACAUCUGUUAUAAGAAUAACUUCAAGGGUGUUUCUUCCAUUUAACCAUCUGUUAUUACCAUGCGAUUCGAUUAAUGAUUGUAACGGGGGCAAAAGCACAUGCACUUAUGGAAAUUUGGUCUACAUUCAAGCACGGUCUAUAUUUAAAAAAAAAUACUAAACUAUUUUAUAAUUUCUAUUGCCUCAUUUCUUUUCGGGGAGUGGAAGAAAAUGGAAUUUAGAAGCAUGAAAAGUCAGGACUUUGAAAUACCUGAGAAACAGAAUGUGUGUGCAUCAAUAAAAACUAAGGGUACAUAUUUACACUUUUAUAUAUGUUUAUAUAAGGGGUAAUAAAAUGCCAUUGAUGUACACUAAUUUAAAAUCUGCUUGUAAAAUUCAGUAAAUUCUGAAAAUACUUUUCACUGUAACUACUUUUAGAAAAAAGUCUAUCUUUAACUACAGUUUAUAUUUCUGAAAAUAAGCCUUCAAGUGUAUUUGGCAUAACCUGUUUAAUCACAUGAACUGUGUAAUCCAAAUACAAUGCAUUUUACAAAAUCUGAAAAUUAGAAGUUAAUUCCACAAACAACUGAAAUCUGAUUAGUAUUGCUACUCAGAAAAAUGCAACACUCUUGCAAUAUUUGUAUAAAGAAUGAACUGCACACUAUGUCAAUUCUAAAAUGAUUAGCACCAAACAAUGAGACCUUUCCUACAAAAUGUUGGUGUGCAUGUGCAACUUUACUCAUGGGGGUAGUCUUUUUGAACUCUGUGGGAAUAUUCAGCAUUUGCAAAAUAAAGGCCUAUGAGAGUAACAACUAAUACUGCUUGCAAAUAUUUAAGCAAGCCAGAACUGUUCAGAAGUAAUCUUAGCCUACUUUCAACUUAUAUAGGUUAGUUUUUAGUUAUCAAUAUCUUUUGCAACGAUUUUAUUUAGCAAUAUCAUCUGAAUAUAAUUGGAUACAAGGCAAUAACAUACAAACUGGUGAAAACAAAAUAAAUGAAUAAAAGUCAAUUGUAUUAUAAAUCCAUGAAGUCUACAACAGACUGGUUCUUCCAAGACUAAUCACAAAUUUGGACUAUAAUAUUUUAAAUAUAUAAAUGAACUCUGAAAA